rnacentral:rRNA from 1 species
UUAAGCGACUAAGCGUACACGGUGGAUGCCCUGGCAGUCAGAGGCGAUGAAGGACGUGCUAAUCUGCGAUAAGCGUCGGUAAGGUGAUAUGAACCGUUAUAACCGGCGAUUUCCGAAUGGGGAAACCCAGUGUGUUUCGACACACUAUCAUUAACUGAAUCCAUAGGUUAAUGAGGCGAACCGGGGGAACUGAAACAUCUAAGUACCCCGAGGAAAAGAAAUCAACCGAGAUUCCCCCAGUAGCGGCGAGCGAACGGGGAGCAGCCCAGAGCCUGAAUCAGUGUGUGUGUUAGUGGAAGCGUCUGGAAAGGCGCGCGAUACAGGGUGACAGCCCCGUACACAAAAAUGCACAUGCUGUGAGCUCGAUGAGUAGGGCGGGACACGUGGUAUCCUGUCUGAAUAUGGGGGGACCAUCCUCCAAGGCUAAAUACUCCUGACUGACCGAUAGUGAACCAGUACCGUGAGGGAAAGGCGAAAAGAACCCCGGCGAGGGGAGUGAAAAAGAACCUGAAACCGUGUACGUACAAGCAGUGGGAGCACGCUUAGGCGUGUGACUGCGUACCUUUUGUAUAAUGGGUCAGCGACUUAUAUUCUGUAGCAAGGUUAACCGAAUAGGGGAGCCGAAGGGAAACCGAGUCUUAACUGGGCGUUAAGUUGCAGGGUAUAGACCCGAAACCCGGUGAUCUAGCCAUGGGCAGGUUGAAGGUUGGGUAACACUAACUGGAGGACCGAACCGACUAAUGUUGAAAAAUUAGCGGAUGACUUGUGGCUGGGGGUGAAAGGCCAAUCAAACCGGGAGAUAGCUGGUUCUCCCCGAAAGCUAUUUAGGUAGCGCCUCGUGAAUUCAUCUCCGGGGGUAGAGCACUGUUUCGGCAAGGGGGUCAUCCCGACUUACCAACCCGAUGCAAACUGCGAAUACCGGAGAAUGUUAUCACGGGAGACACACGGCGGGUGCUAACGUCCGUCGUGAAGAGGGAAACAACCCAGACCGCCAGCUAAGGUCCCAAAGUCAUGGUUAAGUGGGAAACGAUGUGGGAAGGCCCAGACAGCCAGGAUGUUGGCUUAGAAGCAGCCAUCAUUUAAAGAAAGCGUAAUAGCUCACUGGUCGAGUCGGCCUGCGCGGAAGAUGUAACGGGGCUAAACCAUGCACCGAAGCUGCGGCAGCGACACUAUGUGUUGUUGGGUAGGGGAGCGUUCUGUAAGCCUGUGAAGGUGUACUGUGAGGUAUGCUGGAGGUAUCAGAAGUGCGAAUGCUGACAUAAGUAACGAUAAAGCGGGUGAAAAGCCCGCUCGCCGGAAGACCAAGGGUUCCUGUCCAACGUUAAUCGGGGCAGGGUGAGUCGACCCCUAAGGCGAGGCCGAAAGGCGUAGUCGAUGGGAAACAGGUUAAUAUUCCUGUACUUGGUGUUACUGCGAAGGGGGGACGGAGAAGGCUAUGUUGGCCGGGCGACGGUUGUCCCGGUUUAAGCGUGUAGGCUGGUUUUCCAGGCAAAUCCGGAAAAUCAAGGCUGAGGCGUGAUGACGAGGCACUACGGUGCUGAAGCAACAAAUGCCCUGCUUCCAGGAAAAGCCUCUAAGCAUCAGGUAACAUCAAAUCGUACCCCAAACCGACACAGGUGGUCAGGUAGAGAAUACCAAGGCGCUUGAGAGAACUCGGGUGAAGGAACUAGGCAAAAUGGUGCCGUAACUUCGGGAGAAGGCACGCUGAUAUGUAGGUGAAGCGACUUGCUCGUGGAGCUGAAAUCAGUCGAAGAUACCAGCUGGCUGCAACUGUUUAUUAAAAACACAGCACUGUGCAAACACGAAAGUGGACGUAUACGGUGUGACGCCUGCCCGGUGCCGGAAGGUUAAUUGAUGGGGUUAGCGCAAGCGAAGCUCUUGAUCGAAGCCCCGGUAAACGGCGGCCGUAACUAUAACGGUCCUAAGGUAGCGAAAUUCCUUGUCGGGUAAGUUCCGACCUGCACGAAUGGCGUAAUGAUGGCCAGGCUGUCUCCACCCGAGACUCAGUGAAAUUGAACUCGCUGUGAAGAUGCAGUGUACCCGCGGCAAGACGGAAAGACCCCGUGAACCUUUACUAUAGCUUGACACUGAACAUUGAGCCUUGAUGUGUAGGAUAGGUGGGAGGCUUUGAAGUGUGGACGCCAGUCUGCAUGGAGCCGACCUUGAAAUACCACCCUUUAAUGUUUGAUGUUCUAACGUUGACCCGUAAUCCGGGUUGCGGACAGUGUCUGGUGGGUAGUUUGACUGGGGCGGUCUCCUCCUAAAGAGUAACGGAGGAGCACGAAGGUUGGCUAAUCCUGGUCGGACAUCAGGAGGUUAGUGCAAUGGCAUAAGCCAGCUUGACUGCGAGCGUGACGGCGCGAGCAGGUGCGAAAGCAGGUCAUAGUGAUCCGGUGGUUCUGAAUGGAAGGGCCAUCGCUCAACGGAUAAAAGGUACUCCGGGGAUAACAGGCUGAUACCGCCCAAGAGUUCAUAUCGACGGCGGUGUUUGGCACCUCGAUGUCGGCUCAUCACAUCCUGGGGCUGAAGUAGGUCCCAAGGGUAUGGCUGUUCGCCAUUUAAAGUGGUACGCGAGCUGGGUUUAGAACGUCGUGAGACAGUUCGGUCCCUAUCUGCCGUGGGCGCUGGAGAACUGAGGGGGGCUGCUCCUAGUACGAGAGGACCGGAGUGGACGCAUCACUGGUGUUCGGGUUGUCAUGCCAAUGGCACUGCCCGGUAGCUAAAUGCGGAAGAGAUAAGUGCUGAAAGCAUCUAAGCACGAAACUUGCCCCGAGAUGAGUUCUCCCUGACCCUUUAAGGGUCCUGAAGGAACGUUGAAGACGACGACGUUGAUAGGCCGGGUGUGUAAGCGCAGCGAUGCGUUGAGCUAACCGGUACUAAUGAACCGUGAGGCUUAACCUU